rnacentral:rRNA from 1 species
CCUACGGGAGGCAGCAGUGAGGAAUAUUGGACAAUGGGCGCAAGCCUGAUCCAGCCAUGCCGCGUGCAGGAAGAAGCAUCUAUGGUGUGUAAACUGCUUUUGUACAGGAAGAAACACUCCCUCGUGAGGGAGCUUGACGGUACUGUAAGAAUAAGGACCGGCUAACUCCGUGCCAGCAGCCGCGGUAAUACGGAGGGUCCGAGCGUUAUCCGGAAUCAUUGGGUUUAAAGGGUCCGUAGGCGGUUUAAUAAGUCAGUGGUGAAAUCUGGUCGCUCAACGAUCAAACGGCCAUUGAUACUGUUAGACUUGAAUUAUAAGGAAGUAACUAGAAUAUGUAGUGUAGCGGUGAAAUGCUUAGAUAUUACAUGGAAUACCAAUUGCGAAGGCAGGUUACUACUUAUGGAUUGACGCUGAUGGACGAAAGCGUGGGGAGCGAACAGGAUUAGAUACCCUGGUAGUCCACGCCGUAAACGAUGGAUACUAGCUGUUCGGAGCAAUCUGAGUGGCUAAGCGAAAGUGAUAAGUAUCCCACCUGGGGAGUACGUUCGCAAGAAUGAAACUUACGAAAGUAGUAGACGUGNGAGAGACGACGACGACGACGACGGAGGGAGGAGG